rnacentral:rRNA from 1 species
GACGAACGCUGGCGGCGUGCCUAACACAUGCAAGUCGAACGAGGUCCAAGGGAGCUUGCUCCCUGAAGACCUAGUGGCGAACGGGUGAGUAACACGUGAGAAACCUGCCCUCGAGUGGGGAAUAACCCGGGGAAACCCGGGCUAAUACCGCAUACGCUCCUCUGGUCGCAUGGCCGGAGGAGGAAAGUUUUUCGCUCAAGGAGGGUCUCGCGGCCUAUCAGCUUGUUGGCGGGGUAACGGCCCACCAAGGCUACGACGGGUAGCUGGUUUGAGAGCACGAUCAGCCACACUGGGGCGGGGACACGGGCCAGACUCCUACGGGAGGCAGCAGUGGGGAAUCUUGCGCAAUGGGCGAAAGCCUGACGCAGCAACGCCGCGUGCGGGAUGACGGCCUUCGUGGUUGUAAACCGCUUUCAGCAGGGACGAAAAUGACGGUACCUGCAGAAGAAGCUCCGGCUAACUACGUGCCAGCCGCCGCCGUAA